GUUGAAACAAAAGCUGAAACCACAUGCAGCCCAACCAGAGAAAUAGAAGGAAGCAGAGAGCCAGUUGAAACAAAAGCUGAGACCACACACAGCCCAACCAGAGAAAAAGAAGAAAGCACAGAACCAGGUCAUACGCCAACAGACUCAUCAUUUAAUGGAGCUGAGAGCCCACGCAGCCCAACCAGAGAAAUAGAAAAAACCAGAGAACCAUGUCCAACGCCAACAGACUCAUUAUCUAAUGGAGGU